rnacentral:rRNA from 1 species
ACUCCUACGGGAGGCAGCAGUGGGGAAUAUUGGACAAUGGGGGAACCCUAGAACCAAGCCAUGCCGCGUGUGUGAAGAAGGCCUUCGGGUUGUAAAGCACUUUCAGUGGGGAGGAAAGGUUGAUGGUUAAUACCUAUCAGCUGUGACGUUACCCACAGAAGAAGCACCGGCUAACUCCGUGCCAGCAGCCGCGGUAAUACGGAGGGUGCAAGCGUUAAUCGGAAUUACUGGGCGUAAAGCGUGCGCAGGCGGUCUGUUAAGCGAGAUGU